GCCAGUGUGGUAUAGUGGUUUGACCAUUGGACUAGGACUCUAGAGACCAGGUUUGAAUCUCUGCUCAGCCA